GUUAUAGGAUCAAGCGACUAAGUGUAUGUGGUGGAUGCCUUGGCGAUCACAGGCGAUGAAGGACCCGGCAGCCUGGGAAAAGCCGUGGGGAGCUGGCAAGCAAGCUUUGAUCCACGGAUGUCCGAAUGAGGAAACUCACUUCCUUUAAGGAAGUAUCAAUGAGUGAAUACAUAGCUCAUUGAGGCGAACGCAGUGAACUGAAACAUCUAAGUAACUGCAGGAAAAGAAAUCAACCGAGAUUCUGAAAGUAGCGGCGAGCGAAAUUGGAAGAGCCUGCAAGCGUUAGCAGAUUCGAUACCGGAACGGUCUGGAAAGGCCGGCUACAGAGGGUGACAGCCCCGUACGGGAAAUUGGAUCUGUG
rnacentral:rRNA from 1 species